rnacentral:rRNA from 1 species
UCGGGAAUUUUGGGCAAUGGGGGAAACCCUGACCCAGCAACGCCGCGUGAAGGAUGAAGUAUUUCGGUAUGUAAACUUCGAAAGAAUAGGAAGAAUAAAUGACGGUACUAUUUUAUAAGGUCCGGCUAACUACGUGCCAGCAGCCGCGGUAAUACGUAGGGACCAAGCGUUGUUCGGAAUCAUUGGGCGUAAAGGGCGUGUAGGCGGUAUGUUAAGUCAUGUGUGAAAUCCCUCGGCUCAACCGGGGAACGACGCAUGAAACUGGCAAGCUAGAGUACCAAAGAGGGUGGUGGAAUUCCCGGUGUAGAGGUGAAAUUCGUAGAUAUUGGGAGGAACACCGGUGGCGAAAGCGGUUCUCUGGAUCGAUACUGACGCUAAGACGCGAAAGCGUGGGGAGCAAACAGGAUUAGAUACCCUUGUAGUCCCUGAGCGGGCUGGCAAGGCGCAU